rnacentral:rRNA from 1 species
UCCGGCGGGGAACCCCCCCGCCGGGUAGACCUCCACCCGUGCUUACCUACUCUUGUUGCUUUGGCGGGCCGUGGCCUCCACUACGGGCUCUGUUCGUACGUGCCCGCCAGAGGACCAAACUCUGAAUUUUAGUGAUGUCUGAGUACUAUUUAAUAGUUAAAACUUUCAACAACGGAUCUCUUGGUUCUGGCAUCGAUGAAGAACGCAGCGAAAUGCGAUAAGUAAUGUGAAUUGCAGAAUUCAGUGAAUCAUCGAAUCUUUGAACGCACAUUGCGCCCUGUGGUAUUCCGCAGGGCAUGCCUGUUCGAGCGUCAUUUAGACCACUCACGCCUAGCGUGGUAUUGGGGCACGCGGUCCCGCGGCCCUCAAAAUCAGUGGCGGCGCCGGUAGGCCCUAAGCGUAGUAAAUCUCCUCGCUAUAGGGUCCUCUCGGUGGCUCGCCAGAACCCCCAACUUUCUUAAGGUUGACCUCGGAUCAGGUAGGGAUACCC